rnacentral:rRNA from 1 species
GAUGAACGCUGGCGGCAUGCCUAAUACAUGCAAGUCGAACGAGAGGAAGGAAGGCUUGCUUUUCUGAAUCUAGUGGCGAACGGGUGAGUAACACGUAGGUAACCUGCCCAUGUGCCCGGGAUAACUUCUGGAAACGGAUGCUAAAACCGGAUAGGUAGCAGACAAGCAUUUGACUGCUAUUAAAGUGGCUAAGGCCAUGAACAUGGAUGGACCUGCGGUGCAUUAGCUAGUUGGUGAGGUAACGGCCCACCAAGGCGACGAUGCAUAGCCGGCCUGAGAGGGCGGACGGCCACAUUGGGACUGAGACACGGCCCAAACUCCUACGGGAGGCAGCAGUAGGGAAUUUUCGUCAAUGGGGGGAACCUUGAACGAGCAAUGCCGCGUGAGUGAAGAAGGUCUUCGGAUCGUAAAGCUCUGUUGUAAGAGAAAAACGACAUUCAUAGGGAAUGAUGAGUGAGUGAUGGUAUCUUACCAGAAAGUCA